UAGCUAGUUGGUGAGGUAAAGGCUUACCAAGGCGACGAUCUGUAGCGGGUCUGAGAGGAUGAUCCGCCACACUGGAACUGAGACACGGUCCAGACUCCUACGGGAGGCAGCAGUGGGGAAUUUUGGACAAUGGGGGCAACCCUGAUCUAGCCAUGCCGCGUGAGUGAAGAAGGCCUUCGGGUUGUAAAGCUCUUUCGGCCGGGAAGAAAUCGCAUGGGCCAAUACCCUGUGUGGAUGACGGUACCGGAAUAAGAAGCACCGGCUAACUACGUGCCAGCAGCCGCGGUAAUACGUAGGGUGCGAGCGUUAAUCGGAAUUACUGGGCGUAAAGCGUGCGCAGGCGGUUUUGUAAGACAGGCGUGAAAUCCCCGGGCUUAACCUGGGAACUGCGUUUGUGACUGCAAGGCUAGAGUACGGCAGAGGGGGGUGGAAUUCCACGUGUAGCAGUGAAAUGCGUAGAGAUGUGGAGGAACACCAAUGGCGAAGGCAGCCCCCUGGGUCGAUACUGACGCUCAUGCACGAAAGCGUGGGUAGCAAACAGGAUUAGAUACCCUGGUAGUCCACGCCCUAAACUAUGUCAACUAGGUGUUGGGUGGGUAAAACCAUUUAGUACCGUAGCUAACGCGUGUAGUUGACCGCCUGGGGAGUACGGCCGCAAGGUUAAAACUCAAAGGAAUUGACGGGGACCCGCACAAGCGGUGGAUGAUGUGGAUUAAUUCGAUGCAACGCGAAAAACCUUACCUACCCUUGACAUGCCAGGAACUUGCCAGAGAUGGCUUGGUGCCCGAAAGGGAGCCUGGACACAGGUGCUGCAUGGCUGUCGUCAGCUCGUGUCGUGAGAUGUUGGGUUAAGUCCCGCAACGAGCGCAACCCUUGUCGUUAAUUGCCAUCAUUUAGUUGGGCACUUUAACGAGACUGCCGGUGACAAACCGGAGGAAGGUGGGGAUGACGUCAAGUCCUCAUGGCCCUUAUGGGUAGGGCUUCACACGUCAUACAAUGGUCGGUACAAAGGGUUGCCAAGCCGCGAGGCGGAGCCAAUCCCAGAAAGCCGAUCGUAGUCCGGAUUGCAGGCUGCAACUCGCCUGCAUGAAGUCGGAAUCGCUAGUAAUCGUGGAUCAGCAUGUCACGGUGAAUACGUUCCCGGGUCUUGUACACACCGCCCGUCACACCAUGGGAGCGGGUUCCGCCAGAAGUAGGUAGCCUAACCGCAAGGGGGGCGCUUACCACGGCGGGGUUCGUGACUGGGUGAAGUCGUAACAAGGUAGCCGUAGGGGAACCUGCGGCUG
rnacentral:rRNA from 1 species